rnacentral:rRNA from 1 species
AAGGAUCACUAGAGAUUUCGCCCUCCGGGGCUCUCUUUUUCUUCACACACCCCUGUGCACUUUGGCUGCCGCUUCAUUGCGGUGGUCUUUUAUAAUUACCAUACCCAUAUACACAAGUCAUUGAAUGUAAAAUCGUUAUAAACUAAUAUAACUUUCAACAACGGAUCUCUUGGUUCUCGCAUCGAUGAAGAACGCAGCGAAUUGCGAUAAGUAAUGUGAAUUGCAGAAUUCAGUGAAUCAUCGAAUCUUUGAACGCAUCUUGCGCUCUUUGGUAUUCCGAAGAGCAUGCCUGUUUGAGUGUCAUGAAACUCUCACCUGCAGCACUCUUUUAUUAGAGGGCUGGAGCGUGGACGUGAGUGCUGCUGGUGCCCUCGCUGCAUCGGCUCACUUGAAAUUUAUUAGCUGAAUCCUCUAGUGUUGGUUCUACUCGACGUGAUAAGAUCUCCGUCGAGGACAGUGCUCCUUGUGGGCGUUGGCCACUGCUAGCUGUUGAUACGCUCCUAAUUAGCGCAGACUUCGAGUGCUGGCAACUUUGACAACUGGCCUCAAAUCAGGUAGGACUACCCACUGAACUUAA